GUGCAGCUACCUUGGCAUUCUAGCUGUCGGUUCAUAUUCGGGUGGAACUGGCCGUUUGAACACUCUUGAGAACUGUAUUCUCAUAUCCGUAGCCCAUCACUUGACUUCUAGGUAUUCAUUUUUUGAGUCUUUGUAUAUUCUAGACAUUAACCCUGUCCUGUUCAGCUAGCAAGGUACUGCACGGUCCAAACUCGCCCUCCCGGGCGACCAGCUCAUAAUGACCUCCCGCCCUCAGUCUUAUCGCUCAUUUUUUUGUGGGGUGAGUGAGCAGGCCCCGUAGCACUAACUCCUGGAACCAGAGUAUGUGGAACCACAUGAGAGUGAGCUCGAAAACUGUAAAACAGUUGGUUUUACAUCUAUGAUACAUCUUUUAGUAUGUUUAAGAGCUAAUCCCAUCCAUUUGUAAUUUUGAUUGUAAACUUUGGAUAAGAUUUUUUCCAGAAGAAACACUGACAUUUGCUUUGUGAUUGAGUGAGUGUUCGCUGAGAGAACAGAUUGUCAAGAGUUUCUGAACCAAACUGUGUUUUCGACUGUGCAAAAGAACGUAAAUUCCAGGAACCAAACUCACGUCAUCGGUAUUGGCAACCAGUUCAUCUGCGCUGAGCACACCUGUAGGCCUCCUGCUCUGAGCCUUUAGCUGGCGCUGCAUGAUCUGGAACAUGGACACGUCUGCUUUCCCUUCAUAUCUUACAAGUUCCACAGUCAGGACAAGAUAAAAUCAACAUACAACCUUGAAUUUCAGACAAUAAUUAUUUUUUGCUACAUGACUAGAAUUUUUUAUAUUAUUAAAUAAUUCAGAAAUAUUAUACUUGAAUUAAAGUAAAAGCUUGCAUCGCAUGAGAAAAAAUCUUAUAUAUGGAUGGGGCACAUGACUUGGAGCAGCAGAGAGAGUGGGCGUGACUUCUGGACACCUUGAAGUGGAGGUUUUAUUACGUGGAAUAAGGCUGAACUGAAAAACAACAACAUGUCUGCCUGAGAGUAGUGGAGCUGUCAUUGUCUGAAGUUGGCGAGCAAGGCUAGAUCUGGGGUAAGGAAUCUUCUUGCUGUUCUCCCUGCACAGUUCCCACCCGCUUCUCUCAGUCUUAAAAUGAAUAAAAUGAAUAGACUGUCCC
ensembl:lincRNA 4930471M09Rik RIKEN cDNA 4930471M09 gene